AUUGAACGCUGGCGGCAUGCCUUACACAUGCAAGUCGGACGGCAGCACGGGAGCAAUCCUGGUGGCGAGUGGCGAACGGGUGAGUAAUAUAUCGGAACGUGCCCAGUAGUGGGGGAUAACUGCUCGAAAGAGCAGCUAAUACCGCAUACGACCUGAGGGUGAAAGGGGGGGAUCGCAAGACCUCUCGCUAUUGGAGCGGCCGAUAUCAGAUUAGCUAGUUGGUGGGGUAAAGGCCUACCAAGGCAACGAUCUGUAGUUGGUCUGAGAGGACGACCAGCCACACUGGGACUGAGACGCGGCCCAGACUCCUACGGGAGGCAGCAGUGGGGAAUUUUGGACAAUGGGCGCAAGCCUGAUCCAGCAAUGCCGCGUGCAGGAAGAAGGCCUUCGGGUUGUAAACUGCUUUUGUCAGGGAAGAAAUCCUCUAGGUUAAUACCCUUGGGGGGAUGACGGGACCUGAAGAAUAAGCACCGGCUAACUACGUGCCAGCCGCCGCAGUAAAAC
rnacentral:rRNA from 1 species